GACGAACGCUGGCGGCGUGCCUAACACAUGCAAGUCGAACGGAGUAUUUAAUGAAGCUUGCGAUUUAAAUACUUAGUGGCGAACGGGUGAGUAACGCGUGGGUAACCUGCCCUUAAAACCGGAACAACAGUUGGAAACGACUGCUAAUGCCGGAUGUUUUCUCUUGAAGGCAUCUUCGAGAGAAUAAAGCUGGCCUCUGAAUAUGCUGGCGAUUAAGGAUGGACCCGCGUCUGAUUAGCUAGUUGGUGGGGUAACGGCCUACCAAGGCGACGAUCAGUAGCCGGCCUGAGAGGGUAAACGGCCACACUGGGACUGAGACACGGCCCAGACUCCUACGGGAGGCAG
rnacentral:rRNA from 1 species